rnacentral:rRNA from 1 species
UGGCGGCGUGCCUAACACAUGCAAGUCGAACGAGAAAGUGGAGCAAUCCAUGAGUACAGUGGCGUACGGGUGAGUAACACGUGACUAACCUACCCUCGAGUGGGGAAUAACUUCGGGAAACCGAGGCUAAUACCGCAUAAUGUCUGACCAAAUGCGUAAGCAGCUUGAGGAGGGGGUCGCGGCUGAUUAGCUUGUUGGCGGGGUAACGGCCCACCAAGGCAAUGAUCAGUAGCCGGCCUGAGAGGGCGCACGGCCACACUGGAACUGAAACACGGUCCAGACUCCUACGGGAGGCAGCAGUUGGGAAUUUUGCGCAAUGGGGGAAACCCUGACGCAGCAACGCCGCGUGGAGGAUGAAGCCCCUUGGGGUGUAAACUCCUUUCGAUCGGGACGAUUAUGACGGUACCGGAUGAAGAAGCACCGGCUAACUCUGUGCCAGCAGCCGCGGUAAUACAGAGGGUGCAAGCGUUGUUCGGAAUUAUUGGGCGUAAAGGGUGCGUAGGCGGUGCGGUAAGUCUUCUGUGAAACCUCCGGGCUUAACUCGGAGCCUGCAGGGGAAACUGCCGUGCUGGAGUAUGGGAGAGGUGAGUGGAAUUCCCGGUGUAGCGGUGAAAUGCGUAAAUAUCGGGAGGAACACCUGUGGCGAAAGCGGCUCACUGGACCAUUACUGACGCUGAUGCACGAAAAGCUAGGGGAGCAAACAGGAUUAGAUACCCUGGUAGUCCUAGCCCUAAACUAUGAUCGCUUGGUGUGACAGGUACCCAAUCCUGUGCUGCCGAGCUACCGCUU